rnacentral:lncRNA from 1 species
CGUUAAGAUCACUAUACACCUUUCCAUGGAACACAUAAGCCGUUGAAUCCUCCGAGCACGAAGCGAAGAGCGGAUACGAGCGGUGAAACGCCACGUUCGUAAUGUCUUUAGGAUGAUUCUUGAGAGUCUUGUACGGUUUCGAAGACAGGUCCAUGUCAAACCAACACAUCUUCCCUUUUUUGCUUCCUACGAUCAAAUUAUCGCCACCGGGAUGAAUCGCCAUCGAUGAGAUCUUUCUGAGCCCAGUCUCGAGCUUCUUGAUGGCCAGCUCUCUCUUCUGGAGAUUGAAAACGCGCACGUUCUUUUUCGUAGCGAUGAUGAACAUGCCACGGUGGGUGGGGUGAAAGUGUGCAGACUGGAAGUCCCCGAAUCUUUAUUGGGAGCCUUUUGUAUCUAUGUUACAUGGAAGCCGAAUAGUAGAAGCGUAGUUAGGAAGCGGGUAGUAGUUAGGAAGCGGGUAGUAUUUAGUUGAUUCAUAUUUUAACUAUAAAAAAUACGAACAGAUCAAGCUUAUAAAAAUAUUAUCAAACUAAUUAUUUUUAAUAGUUCAUAAAUAUAUGUCACAGUAUAUUUGAAUACAUAUGCACUAUCUCUUAUAAAAAUUAGUAUGCACAAAGAUAAUUAUAAUAGUAGUUUUGAUAUUUUCAUAUUUUUUAUUUCCUUUAUUUUAAUACUAUUAAUUUUAAAUUUUAUAUAAUAUAAAGAUAUAAUUUUAUUUUUUAUACUUAUUCAUGAAACUGAAUUUUUAAAAUGAAAUCGUGAUUCAUAAACGAAAACAUAAGCUUCCAACGUGUUUUUAAAAAUGUAUGUUGGAAAUGUAUUGGAAGCAAGAUUCCGGAUACUUCCACGAGAUUCCGAUUUUGAAAUUCUUGACAAUCUAUCAUUGUUCGUAAACAAAUCAUGCGGAUACUAAACAUGAAUUGUGUAUCCACAUUAAUCAUUUUGGAUGCAUAGUGAUACAAAAAAUAUAAAGUUAGGAUUCGGGUGUUGAUUUGGUGUCCAAUAAUUGAUUAAUCGGUGGCACAUAAUUAAACAUUCAUUACCAACGGUUUAUCAUCUUUUAUUUGAAUGAUGUGCAUCAACCACUUGAAAUAAAAUAAAACUAGGAUAAGACAUGUGUCUUGCGCAUGGUGAAUUUAUUUGUAUAUAUUAUCGAUAAUUUUUUUUUAUAUUUGAUCAUAUUAUUUAUACAUAUACAAUGUAUUUUUGUUGUUAUUAUAUAAUUUCUUUCCGAUGGAUCGGAUUAAUUUUUAUUAAAAUUGUGGAACUAAACUAUAAUUAAUAUAUCAUGGAUUGAUCAGAUUGGACAUUAAACAAAUUUUGACACAAAAAUUUUAUUUUUUUCACCGAACACAUUCUUGAAAAAUGUGAACAAUAUUGUUUCUACAGUAGAAUUAUUUUGACAUUUAUCUUCCAUAUGGUUUUAAAAGGUUUCAAAUCAACCAUCGAAUUGAUACAUGUCAUUUUAAUGAUUUUAGUCGUAUGCUCAAGGAAACUUACAUUUUUGUAAUUUAAAAUCAUUUUAAAAAAUUCAAAAUAUAACAUAUAAGACAAAAUCUAACAUAUAAGAAAAAUAUAGCAUAUAAGGUUUCCUCAUUUUAUAAUUUAAAGUUGCCUUAAAAAAUUUAAAAUAUAAGAUAUAAGGUUUCCUUAUUUUUGUAAUUUAAAUUUAUUUUAAAAAAUCAAAAUAUAACAUAUAAUAAAAAAUCUAAUCUUUUUAUUAUAUGGUUAAUGUGAUUGUUUAAUUUUUUUAAUAAUAUAAAAUUAAACAAAAAUAAAGAAGGAUGCAAAAAUUGUUAUCAAAUCUUUAUUAUUUAUAGUCAGUAAUCGUCAUAUAUAUGUUAAUCAUAUUAGGUAAUUCUGUACAUUUUAUUUAAGGAAAGAUUACAUGUUUCUUAUAUUUUGGGUUAAUAUGUGUUCCAUAAUAAUUGGAUUUAAACCAAUAUUUUUUUCAAUUGAUUCUUAAGCUGUCAAGUAAGUUAAAUUGUCAUCUUAAUUAAACGAUAUCUUAGCAGAGCUAGUCUCUUUUUAAUUAGUACAAAUGUAAAGUUAUAAUUUUUCAAAUGAUCUUCAGUUAAUAUAUAGAUGAUGAAUGAGUUCACUGCUGAUUCAUUGAAUUCUUCCCCUGUUUUUGCAUGAGCAAAUAUAGUAAAACGGAAUUCCAUUUUUCAAUCGAACAAAAGUACGUGUCCGAAUGUUUUUCAUGAGCAAGCAUACAUAAGAGUAAUAUAUGUUUGAGAAAACAUUAUACAAAGAAUAGUGCUGUGUUCAUGAGCAUUUGCCUAACUAAAGACAUCAACCAUUUGAUCUAAUCCUUUGAACUAGAUUAAUAAAAUUAAGACUAGGAUGGAUGUGUUGGAAGUAUCUCUAAUUUUUGCCAACAGGAGAUAUACAAAUUAAUAUUAUUAAUUCAUUGUAAGCUCUAAAGAUUAAUGAUCUAUAAAAUAAUAAUUAUAAUAAAUUAAUAGAUUUAGUCUUAAGUUUGGAUUUAUCAAAAAAUAAGAUGAAAUUCUAUAUAAUUAUAAAAUAUAUGAAAAUAUAUUAUUUACUCAAUAUUAUUAAUUAUUAAUUUAUAUAGAUAAUACAUCAAAACAUCAGUAAUUUAAAGUUCAAUAUAUUAAUAAAAAUUAAAGAGACAAAAUAAAUUCACAAAGUUUAGUAAAACUAAAUUUAUGAGAAAAUGUAAUAUAUAAGACUAUAAGAUUAACAAUGUUUCAAAUAGAAUAAGUUUACAAAGUAUAAAAUUUAUUAAUUUAUAUAAUUUAAAUGGUAAGACUGAGAUUUUCUCCUUUUCGUAAUUUCAUCCGUGAAAUUGUAAAUUCAAGAUAACACUUCAAAAUAUUAUUUUUGUUGUCCAAAGAAGUGCUGGGCCUAUCUAAUGAUUUUGUUUCGUUUGCGUCUAAAUGUAGCAGACGGAUGUGCGUCAUCAAAAAACUAAUAAGAAAAAAUGUUUCAGAUUUCACUUUUACUAUGAUAGAGUAAACAACGAAUCGAUUUCAGUAAGUCUUCAUAACGAAAUUCACGCCAAGUUUUACGUUGAACAGUUUGCGAUUAUUUUCAAACCCUUCGCCUGACGUUGGGUUGAAUAAUCUUUUCUAUGAAACUUACACACUAUAUCGUUCUCGUGAGAUUGAGACUUCAACGUUGUAGAUCAGUGGAUUGUUUUCCAACGGCCAAGCAAACCACCAUUAACGUCUACGUUAACGUACAAGGUUCACCAUCAAUACGAUAAAACGAAGAUUCAGUAAGAUUCCAGUCUACCUUGAUUUAGGGGUAAACGAAGAUUCAACAAAGAAUAGUAUUGUGUGGUUCACGAGCAUUUGCUGAUAAGUUUUUUUAGGCUUCCAAUUUAAAACCAAUUGACAAUUAGUGGAUUGGCACAAGUCCCUUAUAUAUUACUCAAGUCCCUUUUAUAUUUCCGAUGUGGGAUUUUUUCUCCAAUACCCUCUCUCGAAAUAAUGGUGCGUAUAAUUAUUAAUCUCGCAGAAUCCAUCAUACCCCUUCCAAAAUUAUCUUUAUUUUCUAGCGAUCUCGGCAGAACUAAGCCUUCUAUGGACCAUCAGCUAAUGGGAUGAUCGGGCCACUGUCCGGGCCGGAUUAAUAGGUCAGGAUAUUAGGCCCGCUUUGAUACCAUGAUAAGUUUUCUGGACUUCCAACUUAAAACCAAUUGACAAUUAGUGGAUUGACCCAAGUCCCUUAUAUAUUACUCAAGUCCCUUUCAUAUUUUCGAUGUGGGAUUUUUUCUCUAAUAUUUACCUUACCAAAGGCACCAAUCAUUUGAGCUAAUCCUUUGAACUAGAUUAUUAAAGAUGAGAGUAAGAUAGAUGUCUGGGAUUUUGUGGUCGAAUGAUAAAGAAAUAGGGAUGUGCAAAACUAAAUCACAUUGCACAUUUUUUUACCAAAAAAAUAAAGAAAAAGAAAACAACUAAAUCACAUUGUUCUUGAACAUUUAUAUAUAUAUGAAAUUUUGUUUUCAGUCUAUUUUCAUACCCAAAAAGAAAGUUUAUCUUUAGACUGCACUAAACAUGUGUAUUUUACGGUACCCAAUAGAACUUGAAUCGAAAUCUGAACUGAAAUAGUAAAUAUCCAAUCAAAUUUUAUAUUGAACAAGUCUGGAUAUCCGAACUAGAUCAAAUAUAGCUGAAACUCGAAGCAUUAUCGAACAUAACCAAACUUAACUCUGAAUCCAUGAAUGCAUAGUAUGAGAUCCGAAGAUUACACCCUUUCUCCCAUUUCUUUUUCUUUUGUCAACAAAAUUAACCCUUUCUCCCGUUUAAUCUGUAAAAAUAUGGCUGAGUAUUGAAAAUAUCUCCUCUUUACUUUUUAUUCUCUUUGGUCGGGAGUGAAUCAGCUCCAAUCCAUCUCUUUGAUUUAAACUUAGUUUGAGGGAGAGACAAAUCUUUGAUAUGUAUAAUCUGGUUUUGAAAGUUUUUGUGUGUUUCGUACUCAUGAUGACAUAAAAUCACGUGUGGUCUCUUAAAAAUUUUGGUUUGUGAAAUUAAAUCAAGGAAUUUGUGAUCGCAGACACCAUGAUCUACAAAUACAACAAUUUUUUUAAAAAAAAUUAAUUACAUAGUUUGCAUUUUUUUGGUUGUGCCUGAAAUAACUGAAUCCGAAGUAAAAAUAUCUGAACCCGAUCUGAUUUGUAAAAAUAGCCAGAUGAGUACGUGCUAAGGUAUUUCAAGACCUAUAUUGAAAUACCUGAUUUGAAUCCGAAUGGAUACGAAGCAUCCCUCCCUAAAUUACAUUUCCUUUUAAAAUUAGUGUUGAGUGAACCUUUUUAUAUAUCCGGCAAAUUAAAAAAAUAAGAAAAAGAAAAAUUAAGACUACAAAGAUAUAAAAUUUAAUAUUAUUAAUGUAUUAUAAACUCUAAAUAAUAAUAGUAAAUUGAUAUUUUAGUCUUAAGUUGAAUUUAUCGAUAAUAAAUCAUAAAUUAUAUGAAAAUAUAUUAUUUAUUUAAAAUUAUCAGUUAUUAAUUUAUAUCCAUAAAACAUCAAAACACCAGUCAUUCAAAGUUCAAUAUAUUGAUAAAAAGAAAAAUGAAAACAAAUUUUAGUAAGAAUAAAAUUAUAAAAACUAAUUAAUACAUAACCAUAAGAUUAACAUUGUUUUAAAUAAAAUAUUUUUAACAAAAAAUAAAUUAUAAAUUAAUUUAAAUAAUAAUAACUCUAAAAUUCAUAAAAUAUUUUAGUCCAAAUUUAAAUUUAUAUGAUUUAAGUUUCAUGAAUUUAAUUUUCUCUCUGUCCUGCUCACAUCCGUGAAAAUGUAAUUUUAAGAUUACACCUCAAAAAUAUUAUUUUGGUUGUCUAAAGAAAUACAUGGGUUUAUCAAGAUGGUUCACAAAGUCUUAAUUGAGUCUAUAUGUAGAUGACAAAAAAAACAUCACAUAAUAAUAAGAUUUUUACUUUUACUAAUGAUAAUGUAUAUAAUGUUCAGAUUUUCACUUCAGGCUCGGCCGAAGUUCGAGGGGUUAGUUCCAGUCUAGAUGGUGAGGCUCAGGCUUUUAUGUACGCACUACAUAACAUUUGGACUAAGGGACGGAGGUAUUUUUGGUUCGAAGGGGCUAAUCUUGAACUCACCAAUAUUAUCAAUACUCAUGAACAAGGGUAAUGUAUUAUCUGACAUUAUAUAUUGGAUCGGAAUGUUGCCGGAGUGUUCUCUUGAACAGGUGAUGAAUAGAGAAAGAAAUCAAGCGGCUGACGUAAUUGCUAAGAAGGAAAAAAAAUAUUUUUUGCUAAGAAGGCUCUUGUUGGCAUAAACCUGUACUCUGAGUUUCAUAACUGUUUGGUUAAUUGAUUAUAUGUAUCACCCCUUUACAAUAUAAUUUUAUAAAGUUACUGUUGUUAAAAAAAGAGAGUAAACAAUAAUGGAUCAAUUUCAGUAAGCCGUCAUAACGAAAAUCACGCCAAGUUUUACGUUCAAUAAUCACGUCUAUGUAUCACCCCUUUACAAUAUCAUAUAUUGUUUUCAAUCGUGAGAUUAAUUAAGAUUUCAACGGUGUAGAUCAGUUGAUUGGCCUCCAACGGCCAAGCAAACCACCAUUAACGUACAAGUUUCCUCAUCGAUACGAUAAAACGAAGAUCCAAUAUAAUUCCAGUUCACCUUGUUUUAGGGGUAAAGAAGAAAUAGUUACAUAGUACGACAGCCAAAAUUUCGACCACAUGUAACUUUGGGCCUAAGCGGUAACCGUCACCCAGGACCCAGUUCGAAGUAAAACAAAAACAAAAGACUUCACGUAGUGUCCUAUAAGUUGGGCUACUAGAGACUAAUAUAUGACACCGUGGCUUAAAACUGUUGGUACGUAGUAGAGUCCUUCACGGGUUUCGAUCAAAAUGAUAAGUCUAUAAGAGCAAGAGCAUUAGAGGUUUAAGAGGGAGGUUCACACGUUUUACGAGAAAAAAAAUAUUAAAAAAAGUAAAAGUGAUGAACUCGCCCCUUCUCACCUCUUCUGCAAGAUACCCUCUCUCCUAAAAUUCAUCACUGUAGCGCGGGCUCCACGACACAUGCGGUCAAUUUUUUUUUUUUUUCAAAAAAAAAAAAAAUCAAAAUGAAAAAAAUAAAAAAUUUAAUAAUAAAAAAUUAAGAAGAUGAAUCCCAAAGAGGGUUCAUUGAUGCUCAUGCUCUAAGUAACACUAAGUAGUAACUCAAUAGUUACUUAUUAUUACAAUGGCAAUUCUUGUCUUAGAGCGAUGUUACAUUAUCAUGAACUUACUCUUUGUUCUAUUGAACUCUGCUCAUUGCUUUAACCCAAAAAGACUCAAUGUUUCGGCAGAAGCGGGGGGUUCCGAUUGGUCUCAAGCCGGAGCUACAUUCUAUGGCCUCCCCACUGGCUACGGAACCGAUGGUAAAUAUAUGCAUAGAUGUAUUAUUUAACCUAAUUAAUGCACACUAUAUCUCUACAUAAUCAAGUUAUUUUGCUCUCUAUGUAUAACGCUAACUCGAAUAUAAAAUAAUGAAGGUGGAGCGUGUGGUUAUAAAAAUGCUGUGGCACAAGCUCCGUUUUCGUCCAUGGUAUCAGCCGGAGGUCCGUCUUUGUAUAAAUCAGGGAGAGGAUGUGGUGCAUGUUAUCAGGUUCUGCAUGAUCAAAAUAAUUACAAUUAAGCAGAAGCGCUUAAUACAUUUAAAAUUUAUCAAAGUUUAAAAGGUUAAAAAAAAUUAUACGUUUGGUUAAUAUAAUGCACAGAUAAAAUGCACUUCGAACCAGGCGUGUUCGACGAAUCCGGUUACGGUAGUGAUUACAGACGAAUGUGGACAAGGAUGCCUCACAGAGUCGGUUCAUUUCGAUUUGAGCGGUACAGCGUUUGGUGCGAUGGCCGUUCCCGGUCAAGAUAGUCAGCUUCGAAACGCAGGAGUUUUGCAGAUUCUUUAUAGAAAGUAUAUAUGUCAUAUUAGAUCAUAACUACAACAAUAUACUGUAUAUGGUUAUGUGCUAAUGUUUGGUUUAUUAAUUUUGCUCUAAUUAGUAUACUUUCAUUAUUUGUUUUAGAGUUGAGUGCAACUACAUUGGCAAAACGGUGGUGUUUCAAGUGGAAGAAGGUUCAAAUGCCUACUACUUCGCGGCUUUGGCUGAGUAUGUAAACGGAGACGGCGAAAUAGGCCUAGUUGAACUCAAACAAGCGUUAGCUUCUGACACAUGGCUUCCGAUGAGCCACUCACCGAGUGCGGUGUGGAAGCUUGAAGAUACAUCACCUUUGCGAGCUCCACUGUCUCUUCGGUUGACUUAUCUAGACUCUGGCGAGACCGUUGUGGCUUCUGAUGUUAUACCGGCCGGUUGGCAGCCCGGUGCAAAGUACGAAUCGAACGUAAACUUUCAAGUCUAGCCAGAUAUAAAUACGCAUGCAGCUAUGUUGGUUUUUAAAUAAUUAUAUGUAUACGCCCCCUAGGGCGAAAUAAAAAUUUGUGUUAAAUUUCAUAUGGUGUAUUGGUAUAACGAUAAUUAGUCACUUGUAUGAUAACAUAAUCAAUGUAAAAUCAAGUGGCUGAAGUAAUUGCUAAGAAGGCGAAGGCUCUUGUUGGCCUAAACCUGUACUCUGAGUUUCAUAACUUUUUGUAUAAGGCCGGACAGUCCAUGGCUAAUGGGCCCGUUCUCUUGGUCUGGUCUGUGGGCUCCAUUCCAUCUGACGGGCAGUGCAUUAGUUUUUCGAAAUCUCGAAAUUAUUAUUUACUGACCCUGCAAUCACCACUAGAUCUUUUUCCAUGUUUUGGCUUGAUUUGUACGGUGUCGCAAAUCACUUUUCCAUGGGUCACCUAUCUUUUCACUAUUCUAGCCCAAACACAGUUAAAUCAACUUUGGUGAUAUAGAUAGUCAAAUCAAAUCUCUUUCCACAUAUCACAACUUGAAAUGUUACAAUUCACCUCCUCUCAAAGAACGCAACGCCUUUGUUGCACCCCAAGACAUGUUUCAAGACGCCUCUCAGAUCAGAGUUAACUAAUAUAGAUUUAUGAUUUAGAGUUAAGAGGUGAAGUUUUGAGGAUAGAGUUUCAAAAAAUUUUAGAAAAAAAAAUCUUAAAACUUUCAAAAUAAAAAUUGGCUAUUUUGAUCAUUUUUUUCUUUAAAACUAUUUUCCUGACAAAAAAAAUUAAAAAAACUACGUAAAAGAAUUGCCAUGCAUUAUAUCAAAGGGGGGUUUUGUUAACUAUCUAUAAUUUGUUAAUGUUAAUUUUCACGUUCUUAAAAUAUGCUUUCCGUUUAGAGAGUUGGGAAGCUUACAUUACUUCCAUAAGUACCAAAACUGAAAUGCCAAUUUUUGGAAUAAAAUGAUGUGAAAUUCUCUAUUCCAUUUAUACCAUAAAUUGUUGUACCAUUUGUAAUGAAUGAAAUAUAAUAUUUAUUCCAUCAAUUCCAUAAAAAAUAAAAAAAUUCAAAGAAACUUAUUUCAUUCCAAUUUUAAUCAUGAAUAAAUAGAAUGAAAUAUAUUCCAUGUUUCUCUAUAUUCCAUUCCUUUUUAUCCUACUAAUUCCAUUUUACAUUUCUACAUCCUUAUAUUGCCAAGUAUGUGAUUUCUUAUACACUGAAUCCUAAGAACUACUCCCAAAAACACACAAUAAAGAGAGAUCCGGAUACCUGAAUUAUUAAAGAAAAAAAAAAAAACACACACACUAUAAAUAUCCACUAUCAUAUUAUGAAUCGAAUUCACAUCUAGCUAUUGGUAUUACAGAAAUUUCUUUAAACAACAAAGUUAGAUCAUAAAAUGGCACCAUUCCAUAGAUUCUUGGCUCUUUUAGCUCUUUUUACAGUCUCGUUUAAGUUUUGUUAUUGCCAGAAUGAAACAAUAAAUGCCGCUGGCUGGGCCGACGCAGACGCUGGUGCUACUUGGUACGGUGAACCAGAGGGAGCAGGUAGCACCGGUACGUAUUAUUAAAAUUUGAAACUACAUAUAUAUAAAUAUUUUAUCUUCAAAAAAUAUGUUUGUUUGAUAAUGUAAAUAUAUGUCAACAGGAGGAGCUUGCGGAUAUGGUGUGGCAGUGGCCAAUCCACCGCUAAACGCGAUGGUUUCAGCCGGAGGGCCUUAACUAUUCAACAAUGGAAAAGGAUGUGGAACAUGUUAUCAGGUUCGUAUUAAUAAUAUACUAAAGCAAUUUUCUUGAGCAAGCAAAAAAAACGAUCAAUUUUAUUCUUUUUUUUUUGCCAAAAUGUGAAUUUCAUAUAAAUAUGAGAAAGGUUUGUAAAGAUACAAAAGUUUAAAUCAAAGUUAAGUUAGCCUUGGCAAAAAAUAAACAAGACUAAGCUAACAUCCAAUGAGUUCGAAAAGAUUACUCAAAGCGUAUCCAAAGCUGCAUCAAAGGUUGAAAAUUCUUGAGCUUCCUUUUGCCAAGAAUAACAUCUUUGAUGAAACGAUUAAUCAACCUGAAAAUAGUAGCUGGACUCCGAGCCUCUCCAACAUGGAGCCUGGAGUUUCUCUCCAUCCAGAUAUUGGUAAUUGUUGCCUGCGCCACUAGCCUUUUUAGCGUCCUGCUGGUGACUGUAUCUCGAAGAGACACCCAUUCGGUGAAGGAGGUCCAAGUAUGGAAUGCCCUGAAAGAGUAUCCAAGUCUGUGCAGAACCAAGUUCCAGACCCCUUCACUUACUUCACAAUUUAGGAACAGAUGGGUUCUGUCCUCCACCGCUGCAUCGCAUAAACAACAAGAGGGAGAGAUGUUCAUACCCCAUUUCAGCAAUCUUGAUCUGGUGGGAAGGCGAUCUUGGUAGAUAACCCAGGCAGUAAACGCGUGUCGGGGAACAUGACCCUUGAACCAGAUGCUUUGUGUCCAUUGCUGCUCCGGUUCUCUGUUUCGAACAGCUUCCCAGGUUUUGCUGGUGGAGAAUUCUUGCAAUUCAUCACCGUUGAUGUCCCACACAUAGGUAUCGUCCAUUAGAUUCAGAGUGGGAAUGGGAACAGUGGUGAGGUAAGUCUGCAGUUCUUCAGCUAGAGGAGAGCGAGCUCCCCUGAGUAACCAUCCCCUGUCAUUACAGGCAUCUGAAACAGUCGCAGAGAUGCUUAUGGAGAGCUGUCUCGGUCCUGAUUCUCCAAAUCUGUCAAGAAGAGGUCCUAAUGGUGUCCAAUUGUCGUACCAGAAGCUUAUACAGCGCCCAUUGCCCAGUUUAGGUCGCAGGAAUCUAGAGGCCAGGCCACGCAAAGAGAGUAAAGAUCUCCAUGUAGAUGAGGUAGUCUUGUUUUCAUCCAAACUCCAAAAACUUUCAUCCUUUAGUCUAUAAUGGUGAAGCCAGCUUGCCCAUAGAGAAUCAGUCUUCUUUAAGAGGUUCCAUAUUAGCUUUAGGCAGAGGUUCUUGUUCCAGAGGCCAAUGUCUCUUAGUCCUAAUCCACCUUCCUUGCGAGGCAAACAAACAGUUUUCCAAGAUACUUUAGCAACGCAUCUCUUCGUCUCAGUACCUCCCCAUAGAAACUGAGUACAAAGACUUUCGAUCUUCUUUAUGCAACCCUUUGGAAGCACAAACGCUGAUGUCUAAAAAUUAAUGGAGCCAUAUAUGACAGAUGAUAUAAGCUGUCUCCUGCCUGCAAAGGAUAAAGCUUUUGCAGACCAGCAGUUGAAGUUCGCAGAGAUUUUAUCCAGGAGAGGCCUAUAGUCGGAGAUUCUCAGCUUUCUAUACAUUAGAGGAAGUCCCAAAUAGCGGAUUGGCAGUGAACCCAAGUUGAAACCAAGGCGAGAGAUGGCUAUGGUUUCAUCAGUGUUCAAGCCGGCUGCAAAUAGUUCUGUUUUGGACUUGUUCAUACGCAAUCCCGACCAGAGAGCGAAGUCCUCUAAUGUAUCAGCAAUGCAUUUCACGGAAUUUACAGAGCCAUCAGAGAAAAUCAUAAGAUCAUCCGCAAAGGAUAAGUGUGUAACCUAAAGAUCCUUCGUUUGCGGAUGAAAUCCAACAGACCCAUCAACAUAUUUCUUUAUCAGCAGUUGUGAAAAUACCUCCAGGGCUAGAACAAACAGAUAAGGCGACAAGGGAUCACCUUGCCUCAAUCCUCUUGUUCCUUUGAAGUAUCCACAGGACUCUCCAUUUAUAGCAACUGAGAAAUGGCUUGACGUUAAGCAUUUUCCGAUGAGCUUCCUGAAGCUAGGCGGGAAGUCAAGUGCCUCCAAGGUAAAGAGAAUGAAGUCCCAGUCAAGUGUAUCAAAAGCUUUUUGAAGGUCGAUCUUUAACAUACAACGCUUUGAUAUUUUCUUCCAGUUAUAGCCUGAGACAAGCUCUGUUGCUAGAAGCACAUUCUCCACCAAUAAUAUUCUGGGAACAAAAGCUGACUGCGAGGAGGAUAUGAGGGUUGGAAGAAGGUCCUUGAGCCUGUUCGCAAGAAGCUUUGACGCCACCUUGUAGACCGUGUUACAGCAAGAGAUUGGCCUGAACUCAGUGAUCUUAGUUGCAUUCACUUUCUUUGGCACAAGAGUGAUAAUUGUUGCGUUCCAUUGUUGUAGCAGUUCUCCUGUAGUUAGAAACUCUUGAACAGCAUCUAUCAUAUCACGACCAACAGACUUCCAGUUACCAAUGAAGAACUCAGCAGGGUAUCCGUCAGGUCCCGGAGACUUGUUCUUUGGAAGAGAUAAGAAAGCUUGCUGGAUAUCGAGGUCUGUGAACGGCGCCGAGAGUGCAUCAACAGCAGUAGGUGAGCAUUUAGUUUGCAGAACCGCGGCAAUUUCAGAUGGGGUGGAGGUAGUAAGGACGUUGACACCACCAAGGAGGCUCUGAUAGUAGUCAAUAGCGUGCUGCUUUAUUCCCUGUAGAGAUUCAAUAAUAUUUCCAUGCUCAUCAAUCAAGAGGUGAAUAUGAUUCUGAUUUUGUCUUGCCUUGAUCACCCUAUGGUAGAAAGGAGUGUUUGCAUCACCCUCAACAUUCCACUGAAUUCUCGAGCGUUGUUUGAGGAAUUUAUCUUCUGCUCUGGCCAGUGUAAGCCACUUGAGACGAGCUAUUCUUUCAGAUUCAGCAGUUGCAGGGCAUGGUGAGGAUAAGGAGGCACUCUGGCAGCUGGUGAGAUCAGAAAAAGCCUCCUCCACCCGCUUUUCAAGGUUAGAGAAGUUCUCCUUGUUGAAAGAACGGAUGAUCGGCUUCAACUCCUUAAGUUUCUUUGAGACACAAAGCUGUUUCGAGCCAUCAAAAGGAAGAGCAUUCCAGGUAGACUUGAUGAGAGCCUUAAACUCAGGAUGAUCAUUUAAGUGAGCAAAGAACCUGAAAGAACGUUUCUGAGGAGGCUUGAGUUGGUCUAAGAAAACGCAGCAUGGACUAUGGUCUGAAAUUCCCGGUUCUCCAAAUACUCCAAUCGAAUCCCAAAAUUGCUCAACCCAGUCCUCAUUACACAAGAUACGAUCCAGCUUCUUAGAGACAGAAUGAUUCGUCCAUGUGAAGUUGUGGCCACUAAACUGAAGGUCUGCUAAAGAGCUUCGCUCAAGGCAUUCACGGAAAUCUCUCAUACCUCGAGAAGAUGAGAAUUGAUCAGCAGAGGAGUGUUCAGUAGGAGAGAUAAUCUCGUUAAAGUCUCCCAAGACAAUCCAAGGAAGACCGCAAAGCUGAGAUGAAGUGGAAGCAGAUUCAAGUUCAUCCCAUAAUAGUCUUCUUUCUUUUCUGCAGUUGGAUCCAUAAACAAAAGAGACUCCUAUUUCAGUAGAAUGAAACGGGAGCUUGACAGUGCAGGUAACCAUCUGAAGUGAUUUGGCGAUGACGUUGACCUGAACUGAUGGCUUCCAAACUAGCCAAAGCUUACCGAUAUCUGAGAAUUCAUAGUUGCUCUCUAAAGACCAACCUGGUAAAAUACUUUUCAUAAUAGAAACCGCUUUCUCCUGCUGUACAUGCGUCUCAAUGAGACAUCCAAAAAAGGGGUUAUAUUUCCGAAUCCAUUUUUUGAAACCACGCCGCUUUACAGGGUCAUUAAUCCCUCUUAUAUUCCAGCAAAAAAGAUCCAUUAAGAGGGUAAAAUUUAGAGGAUUAAAGGGCCUCUAGCCCUAGCCUUUGUGUUAAAACGCUUCUGAUAUCUCUUAGAGAAUACCUCAAUGAACUGGUCUUCAUCAUCCGGAUCGUCUUCUUCACUAGACAAGGUUGUAUCCGAAGAUGAUCCAGAGCUAGACUGCUCCUUUAGAUGACUCUCAGUUGAUAAAUCCACAGAAAGGCUUCCCUUACUGAGGUCGUAUUCCACUGUUACCGUACCAUUCCUUGGGGAGACAGGAACUAUAGGCGAAGGGGGAGGAAUAACUGCAGGUUUUAGGGAAGCUGCAGGUGGAGGAUCCUUUGGGACUGAAGAAGAGACAAGUUCCGGUUGGUCCAAUGUUUUUACUCCCACCUGCUUGUAAACCAUUUCCUGCUUACCAACAAUUGGGAGAAGGCUCUUGAUAGGAGCCUUUCCCUUCUGCUUGGCCGUGUCUUUCGGGAGGUGGUUUGAUCGUGGACAAGCUGCAGUGAUAUGUCUGACAGAGUUGCAGAUUGUACAAGUAUGAGGAGCAGCCUUACAUCUCGAGAUUGUGUGCCCAAACUUUUUGCAGUAGGAGCACAGAGACGGGAGCCAAGGGCUGGUGACACCAAUCCUCCUUGUAUCACCAUUCUCAAAGCGUGCAUUCACAAAUUCGGGGAGAGGCUUACGGGGAUCAAUGACUGUAUACACCUUAGCAACUUCAAUGUUGGUAAGGUUUUCUGUAGCAGGGUGUAAGCAGACAGGAUGGCCCACAAGUCCCGCAAUCUCCUUCAGAGCGUCUUUAUUGAAAAAUUGCAAUGGGACACCAGUGAACUCCAACCAGACUGGGACCAUGUCGAGCUCAGGCUUGCAUUGCUGAAUCCCAGGUGACCAUUUUGCUACAAACAUUGUCUGGCCGUCAAUCUGCCAGAAACUUUGAGCCAGAAUUCUGCGUCGAGCAUUUGGACAAGGCACUCGAAAUAGGAACGAGUUUCCUUCCAUUUUGUUAACUGUUAUGUCGCGCUUGUGUCGGCUCCAGAUACCAUUGACAAUGGCAUGAAUGGCACCACGAGCAGGAGGUUCUUCAUAGAACUGACCCAGAAUGAAGUACUCCCAAGCUUUCUUAUUCUUCUCGACAACAGAGUUCGGAAUAGUGACGCAGGCUUCCCCUGAGUCAAGCGUAUAAGGCGUCUGCUCUGGUUGGAGUUUCACAGACGACUCCUUAACAUAACCUUUCCAAAAUUCAGCCGGGUUUUGCAAGCCAGCUGCAGGUUGAGAAGGGGGUUCACUAGAUUUUGAAGCAGCACUGAGCUGGUUCUUAUUUUCAGGUACAGAUUGGGUAUCUGUAGCUAGGGUUUCAGGAUUGGGGUUUUCAGUUUGCUUGGCCAGGUCUCGAUUAGAGGGGUUCUGGGCAGGCGGCGGAGACAUUGUCUGAGCGGCGGGGCCGGUCAGAAGCGAAUCUGUGACUUUCAAUUUGACGGCUGAAGAAGCAUCAGGCGUCGCAACUUUGACUGAACUGUUGGAGGAUUUGGUUGUUCCAGUGGGGAGACGAACCGGAGGCUUAUUUUUGGGGGGUUUCUUUCUUGCCAUGGUGGCGGGUGGGGGCCGCCGCCGAGAUCGGCGACGGUGGAGGAGGAAAGAAAGGGUUCGCGUCGUGAGAGAGAAAGGGGGGUUAGGCGCAUGGUGCGCGUGUAUUUUAACUGUUUAGGGUUUUUAUCAAUUUUAUUCUUACAAAAAGUGGUAUUGAUUAAUUUAGGGUCGUGGUGGCCAGGCUAGAUUGUGGUUUAUAAAUUAUACAUACAUUCAUGCAAGUCUGAAAGACAUAUGUAUUAUUUGUCGCAACCAUAUCGUAAAUAUAAAUGUGUUUAUUUUAGAUUAUGUGCACCGUGAAUCCAGCAUGUUCAGGGAGCCCAAUAACGGUGACGAUAACGGACGAGUGUCCAGGUGGUCCUUGCGCCUCUGAGCCAGUUCAUUUUGACCUUAGUGGCAAAGCCAUGGGAGCCUUAGCCAAACCUGGCCAAGCCGCUCAACUACGAAGCGCUGGUCCUGUAAGUGUUAGUUACAGACGGUACGUAUAUAUAAAUCAGAUUGUUCCUCUUAUAUAGUAUUGGUGCUGUUUCCUACACAAUUAUCUACUUUUUUGUACGUGAAUAAUUUUUGAUUUUUUUUUUCUUUUCUAUGUUAUGUUGUUCCAGUGCUGCGUGUUUAUAUCAAGGAACUGAAAUAGCUUUUCAUGUUGAUGCCGGUUCUACCCCGUUCUACGUGGCAUUCGUUGUGGAAUACGAAAACGGUGAAGGAGAUUUGGCGUCCGUUGAGAUUCAACCGGCCAGCGGAGGAUUUAUGCCCAUGCAAGAAAUGAGGUCCGCCGAGUGGAAGUUAAACUCCGGCGGUCCACUGAGCGGGCCGUUCAACAUUAGACUUACAUCUGGCGAGUCUCGUAAAGUAGUGGUAGCUCAGGCUGUUAUUCCGGCGGAUUGGAAGCCUGAUCAGACGUACAGGUCGAUUGUUAACUUCUAGGGUGUUCUUUUUUGUCAAAUUGUAGUUCCUAAGCUAAUAAUUGUUUAAUUAAAAAAAUAAGAAAUGCAUAUUGAGAUAUCAGUAUGAGCCCAUAUAAUUAGAACGUUAAGUUCAAGACUUUUGCCAUAGUGGUCUCUUAAAAUGACGAAGAAUGUUAUACAUGCAGAGACGUCAAACAAAUUACAGUGAAACUCUUAAUUGCAAGUUUUUUACAGUUUUAAGUUGUUUAACAAUCUCUCAUCAAGACCAUACUAGAACCUAUUAACAGAGUCAUUACGAUAAUCACAAGUGAGGAGGGCUACCAUUUUCAGUAAAUCUGAUGUGAGUUACCAAAUAAGUUGUAUUCUGUUUUUCAGUUUGAUCUCAGCAACAAAAAAGGUAAUCAAGCUAGUGCAACCAGAGAGACGCAUAGGAGGCAACUAAAAUGCAGUAGAAAUACAAAACGGUAGAGCAAUGUGAUAAUACAAAAACAAGAUGAAAAUGGUCAAAAAUAUGGUUUGGGCGAAACUUAGUGGCAGUAAAGUUUUAUAACCGAGUCGGCGCCUGCAGUGAAUAGCCAUGGUUGCCUCGGAUGAAACUUGCAGUCCAAGACUCCUGCCAUCGAACAAACCCCCCAUAAGCAUAAAAUAAUAAUCUCAUAAAGAAUAAACAAAGAGUCAGAAACACAGUAAAAAACUGACCUCUAUUUGAAGCAGUAGAAUGGCCUCUUAGAAUCUCCAACGGCACAAUCAGAGGAUUCUCGUUAAGAUCACUAUACACCUUUCCAUGGAACACAUAAGCCGUCGAAUCCUCCGAGCACGAAGCGAAGAGCGGAUACGAGCGGUGGAACGCCACGUUCGUAAUGUCUUUAGGAUGAUUCUUGAGAGUCUUGUACGGUUUCGAAGACAGGUCCAUGUCAAACCAACACAUCUUCCCUUCUUUGCUUCCUACAAUCAGAUUAUCACCACCAGGAUGAAUCGCCAUAGAAGAGAUUUCUCUCAGCCCAGUCUCGAGCUUUUUGAUGGCCAACUCUCUCUUCUGAAGAUUGAAAAC